rnacentral:lncRNA from 1 species
UGCAGCUGAGAAAACUGAAUUAUUGACGUGAACGUGUCCUCCUCCCCAACACUAGGGGGCGAUAUGGGUCUUUUCAGCGGCGCUGUUUCCGACCCCAUCCAACCGUCAACAACAACAGCAGGUCGGUGUCAGACGUCAGAAGUGUCUACAACUGCUGCUGGAGAAACAAGAAGAUGGAGCAUCGUACAGCGUUGUUUUUGUCCGACAUGAUGGACGCGCUACUUUUUCUAAAGAGGAGACCAACGCUACUCCUCUACUCUGGGGGUUUGUUACGGGGUUACGGGGGCGUGGCAU